AGGUAUUCCGGGAUAUUGGGCGUAAGCGCUCGCAGGCGGUCUUUUAAGUCUGAUGUGAAAGCCCACGGCUCAACCGUGGAGGGUCAUUGGAAACUGGGAGACUUGAGUGCAGAAGAGGAGAGUGGAAUUCCACGUGUAGCGGUGAAAUGCGUAGAGAUGUGGAGGAACACCAGUGGCGAAGGCGACUCUCUGGUCUGUAACUGACGCUGAGGAGCGAAAGCGUGGGGAGCGAACAGGAUUAGAUACCCUGGUAGUCCACGCCGUAAACGAUGAGUGCUAAGUGUUAGAGGGUUUCCGCCCUUUAGUGCUGCAGCAAACGCAUUAAGCACUCCGCCUGGGGAGUACGGUCGCAAGACUGAAACUCAAAGGAAUUGACGGGGGCCCGCACAAGCGGUGGAGCAUGUGGUUUAAUUCGAAGCAACGCGAAGAACCUUACCAGGUCUUGACAUCCUUAUGCCUUCCCUAGAGAUAGGGCUUUCCCUUCGGGGACAUAAGUGACAGGUGGUGCAUGGUUGUCGUCAGCUCGUGUCGUGAGAUGUUGGGUUAAGUCCCGCAACGAGCGCAACCCUUGAUCUUAGUUGCCAGCAUUCAGUUGGGCACUCUAAGGUGACUGCCGGUGACAAACCGGAGGAAGGUGGGGGAUGACGUCAAAUCAUCAUGCCCCUUAUGACCUGGGGCUACACACGUGCUACAAUGGA
rnacentral:rRNA from 1 species